AGAGUUUGAUCCUGGCUCAGGAUGAACGCUAGCGGCAGGCCUAAUACAUGCAAGUCGAACGGUAAAUAUUUAGCAAUAAAUAUGAGAGUGACGUACGGGUGCGUAACACGUAUGCAACCUACCCUUUACAGGCGGAUAGCUCGGGGAAACUCGAAUUAACCCGCCGUAAUAUAAUUGGAUGGCAUCAUCUGGUUAUUAAAUCUACGGAGGUAAAGGAUGGGCAUGCGUCUGAUUAGUUAGUUGGCGGGGUAACGGCCCACCAAGACGAUGAUCAGUAGGGGAACUGAGAGGUUGAUCCCCCACACUGGCACUGAGAUACGGGCCAGACUCCUACGGGAGGCAGCAGUAGGGAAUAUUGGUCAAUGGAUGGAAGUCUGAACCAGCCAUGCCGCGUGCAGGAAGAAGGCCUUCUGGGUUGUAAACUGCUUUUGCCAGGGGAUAAAAUGACCUUGCGAGGUUAAUUGAAGGUACCUGGUGAAUAAGCCACGGCUAACUACGUGCCAGCAGCCGCGGUAAUACGUAGGUGGCAAGCGUUGUCCGGAUUUAUUGGGUUUAAAGGGUGCGUAGGCGGCUUAUUAAGUCAGUGGUGAAAUACUCUAGCUCAACUAGAGGGGUGCCAUUGAUACUGAUGAGCUUGAGUACAGAUGAGGUAGGCGGAAUUGACGGUGUAGCGGUGAAAUGCUUAGAUAUCGUCAAGAACACCUAUAGCGAAGGCAGCUUACUAGGCUGUAACUGACGCUGAGGCACGAAAGUGUGGGGAUCAAACAGGAUUAGAUACCCUGGUAGUCCACACUGUAAACGUUGAUUACUCGCUGUGUGCGAUAUACAGUACGCGGCCAAGCGAAAGCGAUAAGUAAUCCACCUGGGGAGUACGCCGGCAACGGUGAAACUCAAAGGAAUUGACGGGGGUCCGCACAAGCGUGGAGCAUGUGGUUUAAUUCGAUGAUACGCGAGGAACCUUACCUGGACUAGAAUGCCCUUGACCGAUCCAGAGAUGGAUUUUUCCGCAAGGACAAGGAGCAAGGUGCUGCAUGGCCGUCGUCAGCUCGUGCCGUUAGGUGUUGGGUUAAGUCCCGCAACGAGCGCAACCCCUAUUUUUAGUUGCCAACAGGUUAAGCUGGGGACUCUAAAAAGACUGCCCCGCGCAAGCGGAGAGGAAGGAGGGGACGACGUCAGGUCAUCAUGGCCCUUACGUCCAGGGCUACACACGUGCUACAAUGGCGUAUACAGAGUGUUGCAAACCAGCGAUGGUAAGCCAAUCACAAAAAGUACGUCUCAGUUCGGAUUGCAGGCUGCAACUCGCCUGCAUGAAGUUGGAAUCGCUAGUAAUCGCGCAUCAGCAAUGGCGCGGUGAAUACGUUCCCGGACCUUGUACACACCGCCCGUCAAGCCAUGAGAGUCGGGAGGACCUGAAGGCAGUUGCUGUAAGGCGCUGUUUAGGGUUAAACCGAUGAUUAGGGCUAAGUCGGAACAAGGUA
rnacentral:rRNA from 1 species